rnacentral:rRNA from 1 species
CCCCAUGACUGGGUAUAGCCGCGGGAAACUGCGGGUAAUCCCCAGCGACGUCCGGGAGGGGCAUCCCUCCUUGACCAAAGCUCCGGCGUCGUGGGACGGGCUGUCGUGGUAUUAGCUUGUUGGCGGGGUAACGGCCCACCAAGGCCAUGAUGCCUACCGGGCGUGCGAGCGUGGCCCGGCACACUGGGACUGAGACACUGCCCAGACUCCUACGGGAGGCUGCAGUCGAGAAUCUUCGGCAAUGGGCGCAAGCCUGACCGAGCGACGCCGCGUGGAGGACGAAGGCCUUCGGGUUGUAAACUCCUGUCGAGGGGGAAGAAGGGCCCUUAAAAGCCUUGACUGAUCCCUGGAGGAAGCACGGGCUAAGUUCGUGCCAGCAGCCGCGGUAAGACGAACCGUGCGAACGUUAUUCGGAAUCACUGGGCUUAAAGCGCGUGUAGGCGGGUUGGAACGUCGGCCGUUGAAAUCCCCCGGCUUAACCGGGGAAGUGGCGCCGAUACGACCAGCCUGGAGGAACGUAGGGGGAGCUGGAACUUCCGGUGGAGCGGUGAAAUGCGUUGAGAUCGGAAGGAACGCCCGUGGCGAAAGCGAGCUCCUGGACGUUUUCUGACGCUGAGACGCGAAAGCCAGGGGAGCGAACGGGAUUAGAUACCCCGGUAGUCCUG